rnacentral:tRNA from 1 species
GCACUAGUAGCUCAGUUUCAGAGCGCCGGUCUUGUAAGCCGGAUGUCAGGGGUUAGAGCCCCCUCUAAUGCU